GCGCCAUUUUAUUUGAAUAUUAUAUUGAACAUUUUCAUACUAGAAUACUACAACUAAAUUAACUCUCAAUUAAUUUUGAUUAAACCUAAUCACCUAUAUGACAUCAAACAAAUUAAGGAAAUAUAUUUCUCGUCAACAACUUUUGGUCCAGGGUAUCAAAAGGAGAACCCCAGUACUAUUAGCAGAUAGUAAAGGAGCCAGGCUAGAGAAGGAGCUGCUCCCUGACAACGUUAUCCAUUCAAAUAUUGUAUUUCGGUGUAAACCUGGGGCAUCAACCCAAGAUUGUAAAAAUUGGUUGCAAGAAAAUAUUAGAUCGGAAAUAGACACCUAUGGUGACAUUCAUUUAUAUGUUUGGGCAGCCACCUGUAAUCUCACCACAAAAAAUAAAGACAGAUCUAUUUCGCUAACAACAGAAAACAACGAUACGGUUGAAUUUAUUAUCCAUCAAUACAGACAAAUUCUCAACCUCAUCAAUAAAUAUCCUUCUUGCAGAGUUACUUUUUUAAAUAUACCGGUGUACUCCAUAUCAAAAUACAACGAUUAUAUCAAAGUACAAAAUCCAAUAAACAUUAUACAACAAGACAACAAUCUACUACAGCAAAUCAAAAUCCUGAAUGAGAAAAUCCAUGAUCUAAAUCUUUCACUGCGAGUCACGUCUCCAGACUUCAACAUAAAUCUUUGUACCAACCCAAAACAUACCACUUGUAGAGGCCAACAUUCCACUACCAAGCUGUUCUACAAUUUUGAACUUUAUCAAGACGGGAUUCAUCCCAGAUACCUACUUAACACCGUCUGGCUCCACAAAAUCUCAUUACAAAUACGUUACGAUUGCUGGUUCAAGUAGAUGGUAAGUGUGGAUGUCUCCACGCUAUACCAACAAUACAACAAAUCUUCACAAGAUCUUCCUUCAUUGAAUCAUCUUAUUUGCUGAACACUUAUUGAAAAUAUGUAAUAUGAACCCGUAAUAAAAUUUAAUUUGUCAAAUGUUAUAUGUUUUAUAGUUUUAUAUUCGGAUAGUACCUAACAACGUUUCUUUUUAAUAAACAAAGGCUGCGGAUCUUUGCUAUAUUCUUAUACUGCUAUUCUGAGAAGUCCGUGGUAAGUGUGGAUGUUCCCACGCUAUUCCAGUUUUAUACCUUGAAAGAUUAGUUCAACACUUUUAUCAUAUACACGAACAUAGGCAACUCUCAAAUAGGAUUUUUACUAUAUACUAAGUCUGCAAUUCAGAAAAGGCCGUGGUAAGUGUGGAUGCUCCCACGCUAUUCCAAUUUUAUACUUUUAAAUAUCAGCUCAAUACUUUUAUCAUAUACAUGUACACAGGCAAUUCUCAAAUAGGAUUUUUGCUAUAUACUAAGUUCGCAAUUCAGAGAAGGCCGUGGUAAGUGUGGAUGUUCCCACGCUAUUCCAAUUUUAUACUUUUAAAUAUCAGCUCAAUACUUUUAUCAUAUACAUGUACACAGGCAAUUCUCAAAUAGGAUUUUUGCUAUAUACUAAGUCCGCAAUUCAGAGAAGGCCGUGGUAAGUGUGGAUGUUCCCACGCUAUUCCAAUUUUAUAAUUUUAAAUAUCAGCUCAAUACUUUUAUCAUAUACAUAUACACAGGCAAUUCUCAAAUAGGAUUUUUGCUAUAUACUAAGCCUACAAUUCAGAGAAGGCCGUGGUAAGUGUGGAUGUUCCCACGCUAUUCCAAUUUUAUGCGAUUUAUGCUUCUAUUAUCAACCUAACUAUUUUACCAAUUAUUCGUGGAUCAAGAUUCAUAUCAGGAAUAUCUAUUUAUAGCAUUUGGUACAGUACCCAUCAGUGAAUUAUUCUCCUAGGUAAGUGUGGAUGUCACCACGC
rnacentral:lncRNA from 1 species